rnacentral:misc_RNA from 1 species
AAGGAUCAUUAUCGAGUUAGGGUCUCCGGCCCGACCUCCAACCCUGUGUCUACUUAACCACGUUGCUUCGGCGGGCCCGCCCCUCUGGGGGGGCCGCCGGGGGUCGACUUUCGACCUCUGGCCCGCGUCCGCCGGUGGCCUACACACAAACUCUGAUUACAAACCGUGUCGUCUGAGUUCAAACAAAAAUUAAAACAAAAACUUUCAACAACGGAUCUCUUGGUUCUGGCAUCGAUGAAGAACGCAGCUACAAGGCAUCGAUGUGGAAGUAAAAGUCGUAACAAG